GAUGAACGCUGGCGGCGUGCUUAACACAUGCAAGUCGAACGGAAAGACCCAAGCUUUCUUUGGUACUCGAUUGGCGAACGGGUGAGUAACACGUGUGUGAUCUCCCCUUCACUUCGUGAUAAGCCUGGGAAACUCGGGCUAUUACCGCGUAUAACAACAUGUAGGGUGUUGUUCUGGAAAGUUUUUCGGUCUGGGUUGAGCUCGCGGCCUAUCAGCUUGUGGAGGGGCUAAUGGCUUGCCAAAGCGUCUACGUGUACCCGGACUGAGAGAGUGUACGGCCACAUUGGGACUGAGAGAAGGCACAGACUGCUACGGGAGGGAGCAGUGGGGAAGAUUGAACAAGGGGCGCCAGCCGGAUGCAGCGACGCUGCGUGGGGGAUGACGGCCUUAGGGUUGUAAACUACUUUCGCAAGGGACGAAGCGCUAUGUGACGGUACCUGGAGAAGAAGCAACGGCUAACUACGUG
rnacentral:rRNA from 1 species